rnacentral:rRNA from 1 species
AUGAAGAUGGCGACUUGCAUCCGUAAGGUGGCCUCGGAGGAGUUUGAAGUGUCCAAGGGAAGGAGAAGCGGAGAUAAGAAUACCUGGUGGUGGAAUGAUGAUGUCCAGAAGGCGAUUAAAGAGAAGAAAGAUUGCCUCAGACGCCUAUACCUGGAUAGGAGUGCAGACAACAUAGAGAAGUACAAGAUGGCGAAGAAGGCCGCAAAGCGAGCUGUCAGUGAAGCAAGGGGUUGGGCAUAUGAGGACCUCUACCAACGGUUAGGAACGAAGGAAGGCGAAAGGGACAUCUAUAAGAUGGCCAAGAUCCAAGAGAGGAAGACGAGGGAUAUUGGCCAAGUCAAAUGCAUCAACGACGGAGCAGACCAACUCUUGGUGAAGGACGAGGAGAUUAAGCAUAGAUGGCGGGAGUACUUCGACAAGUUGUACAAUGGGGAGAAUGAGAGUUCUACCAUUGAACUGGACGACUCCUUUGAUGAGACCAGCAUGUGUUUUGUGCGGCGAAUCCAAGAGACUGAGGUCAAGGAGGCUUUAAAAGGAUGA